rnacentral:rRNA from 1 species
GACGAACGCUGGCGGCAUGCCUAAUACAUGCAAGUCGAGCGAACAGAUGAAGUGCUUGCACUUCUGACGUUAGCGGCGAACGGGUGAGUAACACGUAAGGAAUCUACCUAUAAGCGGGGGAUAACAUUCGGAAACGGGUGCUAAUACCGCAUAAUAUCUUCUUCCGCAUGGAAGAAGAUUGAAAGACGGCUCUGCUGUCACUUAUAGAUGACCUUGCGGUGCAUUAGUUAGUUGGUGGGGUAACGGCCUACCAAGACGAUGAUGCAUAGCCGGCCAGAGAGGGUGAUCGGCCACAUUGGGACUGAGACACGGCCCAAACUCCUACGGGAGGCAGCAGUAGGGAAUCUUCCGCAAUGGGCGAAUGCCUGACGGAGCAAUGCCGCGUGAGUGAAGAAGGCCUUCGGGUCGUAAAACUCUGUUAUAAGAGAAGAACAAAUUGUAGAGUAACUGCUACAGUCUUGACGGUAUCUUAUCAGAAAGCCACGGCUAACUACGUGCCAGCCGCCGCCGUAA